GUAACUGUGGUCAGAAGAAAAAGAGAGAGACUGUGAGAAGGCACACAAACAGAACCUGAGCCAAAGAGUCUGUCUCAUCUGGGGUAUUCGCCAUUAUCACCAAUGUGGAGGCACCUCAGGCUUUCAGGAAUAACCGUCUAACUGUGAUUGGAAUAACCCUAGCAGCUGUUAUGGAAAGUGGAAGGCAUGUAGAGGAAAGCUGUAUGAGCAGGCUCUGUCCCUUGAAUAUACGACAAGAAGUUCUUUUGAAAAGCAAUUUCUUGGACGUCAUAGGAAUGGCGGCAGCAGGGCACACUUUCUAAGUUCCCCUCCGGAUCUUAUUACAAACAGG